rnacentral:rRNA from 1 species
CUGCUGCCUCCCGUAGGAGUCUGGGCCGUAUCUCAGUCCCAAUGUGGCCGGCCAACCUCUCAGUCCGGCUACUGAUCGUCGCCUUGGUGGGCCGUUACCUCACCAACAAGCUAAUCAGACGCGAGGCCAUCUUUCGGCGAUAAAUCUUUGACAUUCAGACCAUGCGAUCCAAAUGCGUCAUGCGGUAUUAGCAGUCGUUUCCAACUGUUGUCCCCCUCCGAAAGGCAGGUUCCUCACGCGUUACUCA